rnacentral:miRNA from 1 species
AAGCAUUGUGGCAUUGUGAUUGGU